rnacentral:rRNA from 1 species
UACGGAGGGGGCUAGCGUUGUUCGGAAUUACUGGGCGAAAAGCGCACGUAGGCGGCUUUGUAAGUUAGAGGUGAAAGCCCGGGGCUCAACUCCGGAACUGCCUUUAAGACUGCAUCGCUCGAAUCAUGGAGAGGUCAGUGGAAUUCCGAGUGUAGAGGUGAAAUUCGUAGAUAUUCGGAAGAACACCAGUGGCGAAGGCGACUGACUGGACAUGUAUUGACGCUGAGGUGCGAAAGCGUGGGGAGCAAACAGG